GAUGAACGCUGGCGGCGUGCCUAAUACAUGCAAGUCGAGCGAACGGACGAGAAUCUUUCUUCUCUGAGGUUAGCGGCGGACGGGUGAGUCACACGGGGAUAACAUACCUAUAUGACUGGGAUAACUUAGGGAAACCGGAGCUAAUACCGGAUAAUAUUUUGAACCACAUGGAUCAAAAGUCAAAGACCGUCUUGCUGUCCCUCAUAGAUAGAACAUCGCUGCAUUAGUUAGUAGGUAAGGUAACGGCUUACGAAGGCAACGAUGCAUAGCCGAUAUGAGAGGGUGAGCGGGUACACGGGAACUGAGACACGGCCCAGACUCUUACGGGAGGCAGCAGUAGGGAAUCUUCCGCAAUGGGGGAAAGCCUGAUGGAGCAACGUCGCGUGAGUGAUGAAGGUCUUCGGAUCGUAAAGCUCUGUAAUUAGGGAGGAAGAUAUGUGUAAGUAACUGUGAACAUCUUGACGGUACCUAAUCAGAAAGCCACGGCUAACUACGUG
rnacentral:rRNA from 1 species